rnacentral:tRNA from 2 species
GGGUGGUCGUGGUGACCGGAGGGCCUCAUAAGUCCUUAUAGAUGGGUUCGACUCCCAUACCCGCCA